rnacentral:rRNA from 1 species
GACGAACGCUGGCGGCGUGCUUAACACAUGCAAGUCGAACGGAAAGGCCCCUUUGGGGGUACUCGAGUGGCGAACGGGUGAGUAACACGUGAGUAACCUGCCCUUGACUUCGGGAUAACUUCAGGAAACUGGGGCUAAUACCGGAUAGGAAUCCUUGCUGCAUGGUGGGGGUUGGAAAGCUUCGGCGGUUUUGGAUGGACUCGCGGCUUAUCAGCUUGUUGGUGGGGUAGUGGCUUACCAAGGCUUUGACGGGUAGCCGGCCUGAGAGGGCGACCGGCCACAUUGGGACUGAGAUACGGCCCAGACUCCUACGGGAGGCAGCAGUGGGGAAUAUUGCACAAUGGGCGGAAGCCUGAUGCAGCAACGCCGCGUGCGGGAUGACGGCCUUCGGGCUGUAAACCGCUUUCAGCAGGGGCGAAGCUUUUGUGACGGUACCUGCAGAAGAAGCACCGGCUAACUACGUG